rnacentral:rRNA from 1 species
CCUACGGGGCGCAGCGGUGGGGAAUAUUGGGCAAUGGAGGCAACUCUGACCCAGCAACGCCGCGUGAAUGAUGAAGGUCUUCGGAUUGUAACGUUCUUUUCUAAGGGAAGAAGAAAGUGACGGUACCUUAGGAAUAAGCCUCGGCUAACUACGUGCCAGCAGCCGCGGUAAUACGUAGGAGGCAAGCGUUAUCCGGAAUGACUGGGCGUAAAGGGUGCGUAGGUGGUUUGACAAGUUGGUAGCGUAACUCCGGGGCUCAACUUCGGAACUACUACCAAAACUGUUCGACUCGAGUGCAGGAGGGGCAACUGGAAGUUCGAGUGUAGCGGUGGAAUGCGUAGAUAUUAGGAAGAACACCGGUGGCGAAGGCGAGUUGCUGGACUGUAACUGACACUGAGGCACGAAAGCGUGGGGAGCAAACAGGAUUAGAUACCCGAGUAGUC